rnacentral:lncRNA from 1 species
AUUCUUAUUCUUGUUCUUCUUCUUCUUCUUCUUCUUCUUCUUCUUCUUCUUCUUCUUCUUCUUCCUUCUUUUCAUUUUUCCUCUUUCUUCUCCUCUUCUCCUCCUCUUUCUUCUUCUCGUCCUCCUCCUCCUCCUCUUCUCCUCUUCUCCUCCUCCACCUAACUAACCAAGCUAACUAACUAACCUAACUAAUUUAACAAGCUAACUAACUAACCU